rnacentral:rRNA from 1 species
UACGUAGGGUGCAAGCGUUAAUCGGAAUUACUGGGCGUAAAGCGAGCGCAGGCGGUUUUGUAAGUCAGAUGUGAAAGCCCCGGGCUCAACCUGGGAACUGCGUUUGAAACUACAAGGCUAGAGUAUGGGAGAGGGGGGUAGAAUUCCACGUGUAGCAGUGAAAUGCGUAGAGAUGUGGAGGAAUACCAAUGGCGAAGGCAGCCCCCUGGCCUAAUACUGACGCUCAGGCUCGAAAGCGUGGGGAGCAAACAGG